rnacentral:rRNA from 1 species
UACAGAGGGGGCAAGCGUUGUUCGGAAUUACUGGGCGUAAAGGGCGCGUAGGCGGCCCGCUAAGUCGAACGUGAAAUCCCCGGGCUCAACCCUCGAAUGCCGGUGGAUACUGUCGGGCUAGAGUGCGGAAGAGGCGAGUGGAAUUCCUGGUGUAGCGGUGAAAUGCGCAGAUAUCAGGAGGAACACCAAUUGCGAAGGCAGCUCGCUGGGACGUUACUGACGCUGAGACGCGAAAGCGUGGGGAGCAAACAGG